AGUGAACGCUGGCGGUAGGCCUAACACAUGCAAGUCGAACGGCAGCACAGUAAGAGCUUGCUCUUACGGGUGGCGAGUGGCGGACGGGUGAGGAAUACAUCGGAAUCUACUUUUUCGUGGGGGAUAACGUAGGGAAACUUACGCUAAUACCGCAUACGACCUACGGGUGAAAGCAGGGGAUCUUCUGACCUUGCGCGAUUGAAUGAGCCGAUGUCGGAUUAGCUAGUUGGCGGGGUAAAGGCCCACCAAGGCGACGAUCCGUAGCUGGUCUGAGAGGAUGAUCAGCCACACUGGAACUGAGACACGGUCCAGACUCCUACGGGAGGCAGCAGUGGGGAAUAUUGGACAAAGGGCGCAAGCCUGAUCCAGCCAUACCGCGUGGGUGAAGAAGGCCUUCGGGUUGUAAAGCCCUUUUGUUGGGAAAGAAAAGCAGCAGGUUAAUACCCAGCUGUUCUGACGGUACCCAAAGAAUAAGCACCGGCUAACUUCGUG
rnacentral:rRNA from 1 species